UACGCAGGGGGCUAGCGUUGUUCGGAAUUACUGGGCGUAAAGGGCGCGUAGGCGGUGUGUCAAGUCAGGCGUGAAAGCCCCGGGCUCAACCUGGGAACAGCGCUUGAGACUGGCACGCUCGAGUUCGGGAGAGGAUGGUGGAAUUCCCAGUGUAGAGGUGAAAUUCGUAGAUAUUGGGAAGAACACCGAUGGCGAAGGCAGCCAUCUGGACCGACACUGACGCUGAGGCGCGAAAGCGUGGGGAGCAAACAGG
rnacentral:rRNA from 1 species